GGUCCUUACUGCUUGGCUCGAACAAUGCUGGAUGCAUCUCUAGAUGGGAACUCGUUUAAAAAAAGGAAGGACUAAUGAUGCAGUUUGUGAUGUGAUGAAAUGUCUCAUGUCUUUAAGUUUACAAAACGGGGCAAGUAUCGCUUUCGACCCUUAACCAACCGUUCACGCAUCAUUAAAAGGCUUUCUCUGUGUGAAGGGCCUAUUCGUGAAGCCGUAAGCCUUUGGUAAGUACUACCGCUGCAUGAAAACGUUGAAAGAGGUAGACGGAAUUAUAAUUAUUGCUAUAAUGUUAGCUUUAAUUGCUUUAAUUGGUAGCGUACUGCUUUAGGAUGCAAUCAACGUAUUUUAAUUAAAUAAGCAAUUAAAAUUACAUUCCACGUUGUUUUGAAAAAGGAUACUAUAAAGUUCCGUGUAAAAAUAUCCUCCCAUUGAAAUAAUACAAGUUCAUCAGUAAGACCUUCUCACAAUACCUACAUUUUACUGCCAUAUUAGAAAAUGAACCCUCCGUCACAGACGGUACUCAUCUCAAUCCACUUGUCACCAAAAACAAAAAAUAGAAAACCUUCUCGACCUUACGCUGUAAACCAAUGCCAGCUUUGCACUGGUACAGCUCUUUGCAGAAACGAGAAAGAAAAGUUAAUUUCACUAAGAACAAUCCUCCAUCCAUUGCCCUUUGCUGUUAUUUCAAUUUACGCUUAAAAAAUAGAAUAAAACAAGGUGCAAUUUAGACGACCUACGCUAGCUAAAACAUUCUAACCUGCAGUCACUGUCUACAAGUUUUUCGUUGCUUUACAAACAAUGAUUCGCUAAAGAUAGUUGAAAGCAGAAGGAACGUACAUGCUGGGAAGCUUUUUGCCAUACUCUUGCCAUAUCCCCUAGAGAAGCUUAUAAUAAACAAUUCACUUCAUGUCCGAAUAUUUGCUUUUUUGAAAAGGUACUAAGCUGCCUGGUAGCUACCUAACCUACCUAGCCUAGGCCGAAAAUAGAAAACCACAUUUAGCGCUUUAUUUUAUCAAUUUAUUUUUAGCGUGCUGGUAAAUAUUUUACUAGCUUUAACAUCAUCAUGUAGCCGUUUAUUUCUUGGCCCAUUUUAUUAACAGAUUGUUUUUCCUUUGCUGACUGAACGAUUUUAUUUUAGAAAAACAUUUCAUGAAAAUUGUUAUGCAGAAAAACAAUUUUUUCGUUUUUGUAUUUCCCAAAAACUCUUGCGUUCCAUUGAAACACCUUACGUUAGCUACAAGAAGACAUUAAAAGGUUAAAUGCACGACCAAACAUAUGCCACCGACACUGAUACUUUAAACAAUCAACAUUCCAUUCUGACUGUCCCCCCGGUUGUCCCCGUCGGAAUAUGCAAAACAAAUGCGCCUUCACACUGCCGAGUUUUGUUUAUUGACUUACGGGGGAAAAAUAGUCCGUAUUGCCGUGUUUUUGGUUUUGCGAAAGCGCACCGUAGAAAAAGGCUUUGUUUCGAAGUGUCUCACCCACACUCGGUGAGAAACUUGCUUUCCCUUACUCUGUCUCGCGUUGCUUCGACGGAAAACGGGGAAUGGAAAUAUACCAGAACGCACACCGCUACACCGACACAGACGGUAAACAAACCGUUGGACCGUAUUUUGCUGGCAAAAGCAAACAGAAAAGACAAAACCAUUUCCCAAGACCACAACCACCAUCGAAACAAUCGUAACCGACCGUUUUUUCCCACCCAACCAACAGCAAAAAAAAAAUACAUAACCGGUCGGCCACGGCAAUGAUUCCGAUGGAUUUAAUGGGAGCAAAAAAGCAUACUCCUGCUCACAAAACAUCCGGGAAAAGGAAAAUGUUUCCCUACAGCAUCAUCAUCGGUGGCCACCAACGGCAAUGUUUGCAAACCGUGCGAGGAACUAAGGGAAUGUGGCAAUGGGAUGGGAUAGGGUGAAGGGAACUACCAACAGAAAAACCUUACGCCACACGACCACGCGACAUGACCGUUCCAGAACCGUUUGGUUCGUCUCAUUUUUGUAUUUCAAUUAAAUUCACUUUUAAUCUGCAUAACAAAAACACUCCAUUCCUUGUUUCCGCAGUGUGGUGGAAACAGGAAGAAAUGGAAAAGCAACACACAAGCAAAAAAAAAAUGCUACCACAGCUACGACACAAUCCCCAUUUUCCCAAGAAACUGCACAACUCUGUGUGUGUGUGAGUGUGUUUUUUCACCAUUUUUCCCCCCAUUCAGUUGCCAGUUACCCCAUCGUCUUUGGUUCGGAAAA